AGUGAACGCUGGCGGCGUGCUUAACACAUGCAAGUCGAACGAGAACGGGUUAUAGCUUGCUAUAAUUGUCAGCUAAGUGGCGCACGGGUGAGUAAUGUAUAGGUAAUAUGCCUCUUACUAAGGGAUAACAAAUGGAAACGUUUGCUAAUACCUUAUACUCCUUAUUAACAGAAGUUAAUAAGGGAAAGAUUUAUUGGUAAGAGAUUAGCCUGUAUUGUAUCAGUUAGUUGGUGGGGUAAUGGCUUACCAAGACUAUGACACAUAACUGGUUUGAGAGGAUGAUCAGUCACACUGGAACUGAGACACGGUCCAGACUCCUACGGGAGGCAGCAGUGGGGAAUAUUGCACAAUGGACGAAAGUCUGAUGCAGCAACGCCGCGUGGAGGAUGACACAUUUCGGUGCGUAAACUCCUUUUAUAUGAGAAGAUAAUGACGGUAUUAUAUGAAUAAGCACCGGCUAACUCCGUGC
rnacentral:rRNA from 1 species